UAUGGAAUAGAUCGCGUUCUGUCAAUUCAGAGGACAGGAAUGAUCUGCAGCUGCAUUUGAACAUAUUUGGUGACCACAUCUCAAAGAUGACCAAGACUAAAGAGAGAGGAUCGAGCUAUGACUUUGCACAUCCCAUCGACUUCGGUGUUCACCAGUGCAAUCAUCAGAAGAGCCAGGCAAUUCUAGUAUUCAAGUAUUUCAUUCUGUAAUACUUACCUCAAAAUUUACUAAAUAAAGAAAACCACAUGUGGCAGUUGGUUAAAAAAAUCAAGUCUAUCUGUUUAAAGUUUUUACUUGCUAUCAUUAUUAUCAACAUUUCAAUGGUGGCAUUCUGCUAAGGUUUGUUAAGAGUUUCACUUGACUUAAGCAGGGUGUACACUAGUAAAAUAUUAGCAACAUUUUACCAACAUUUUACCAACAUUUUACCAACAUUUUACCAACAUUUUACCAACAUUUUACCAACAUUUUUACAACAAUUUUGCAACAAGCCCUUCAAGGCCCUGUGUUCACUAGCAACAAAUUAGCAACAUUUUUACAACAUGUUGGUAAAUUGUUGCAAACUUUUUAGUGGGAACAAAGGGAAAUAGGUAUUUUGGAGGGAAAAUGGAUGAUUCCAAGGAGAGAAGAUGUGUUUUGAGUGCUUCUGCAGCAAUUUUAGCUGUCAUUGUUGAGAGAUGGAAGAGGCGGCGAAAUAACCAAAGAGAAUAUGGACCAGGCCCUGGAUCAAAAUGAGGGUGGAUGAUGGGGCAUACCACUGCCUGUUAAGGCCGCGUAUCCAUAGGGUAUGCCCUUGUGUAGUGUGGCGUUAUGGCGUAACAGCCUUGUGACCUGGCACUAUAGCUGCGCUUACACCACGAUAUAUUCGUGGACCAAUUGCACUUACACCACCACAUUGCCGCGACAAAUUGGUUCGGCAAUCCAUUGCCGAUACAAAUUGCCGAGCGAAUUUGUCCCACCAAGCUUGAUGGUCCAAAUCGCCCGGCUUGUUAAAAGCUCGGCUUUGUCGUGGUGUACGCGCAAAUGGAUCGGCAAUUAGCUAGUUAGAUGGUUCGGCUCCAGGCGGCGCUUUCAAAAUGGCGCUUUCUGCCAAGGCUUUCUGCGUUCUGCUUAUUGUUUGCGCGCCAUCUGUAGCCGGAUUUUAUAACUAGCUGCAGCGCUGGUGUAAGCGCUUGGUGGAUUUUCGAUGGUGCGGCAUUGGUUCCCGAACCAAGAUUGGUGGUCCAUUUUCAGGUGGUGUAAGUGCGGCUUAUGCCCUGCGUCUCCAUUGGAUAUUCCUUUUUGGUCAUGUAGGCCUUUGUAGUCCUCAUUUCGCAGCAGUCAAUCGCGUUUAUCCGCACGCUGUCAUUAUUUCAGAAGACAAUUUCUUAUGAAUAUUGAAAAUGAAAAUACAAGUAACUUGUAUUUUCACUUGCAACAUCAAAUUGACAUGUACAUGUAUAUAAAACCUGACUUUUAAGCAACAAAUUACAGGUUCGUGCUUGUUAUGAUAAUCAUCAGUUUCGGGGUCCCAGAGUAGUUCCCGUUGAUGAACCUCUUGAAUUAAUUUCGCCUCAGACAUUGCUUCCGUGUUGUUCCCUCGCAAAAGAAUGGACAUGUUCAAUCCCAAUAUGGGCCUAUAUUCCCAAUCCACAGUGCAUAUAUGCCCGCAAUGUGACACGGCAUAACCUAUGGGAACGAUCAAUAACACCAACGAAGGUUCAUUGUCCGUGUGGCGCGCCAGGCGGUAAAAAGGGAAUGUUGUGCAGGGCACGGAACAGCCUAUGGAUACGCAGCCUAAAGGAGUUGCGGCUGACUGACAAGCCGUCAUACAAAAACUUCUAGAAAAGGUUUCAUCACCCUACGAAGCAAGACACUCACUUGAGAGUUGCUAUACCUGCUUCUUGUUCAAGUCACAUGAACUCCGGUAGAUCACAUGACGCAAAUCCUAUUUCUGAUUGGCUGAAGAGUUUGCAACAUUUUUACAACAUGCAACAAAGAAUUGCAUUGCAUUUAAUUUGCAACAAUUUUACAACAUGUUGUAAGACGCGUUUUGCUCUGUACACACUACGCAACAUUUUUGCAACAUUUGUUGCAACUGGAAAUGUAAAAAUGUUGCUAAUAUUUUACUAGUGUACACAGGCCUUUAGGCAAUAAUGUUACCCUUUUAGUUAGGGAAACUGGUGCCUUCUGCAUUAGGUGGACCCCACUUACUCAUCUGUCAGACCGGCCUCACACGUCGGCAGUAGAGUUUAAGGUCCAGUCUGCGAGAUUUACCCAUUUCUACCCAGCCAAAAGCGGGUGAUUGGGCUAGUCUCUCCAUGUGAUUCAAUUCGCAUGGAUUCUUGUGUCCCGGUGCUAAAAGGAUCCCUCCACAAGGGCAGACUACAUCCGGUGGCACUGAAGUAUGGAAGAAAGACAGAAGACGACCAAUUUGCGAAAAGGAUCAUCAUCAUCAUCAUCAUGGUAACAGCUGAGGAUGAAUCAUGUUGCUGUGUGUAGAAUUGAUGGUCCAAUAUAGGUUAGGUUAUCUGUUUGCGCACACAUUGCAAGGGUGGUGCUUGCUUGAAGUAGAUUGCGCCAGUCUACCGCAAUUCACUGUUACACAUCCAGAAGCUAUUAUCCUUAGGCUUUGAGUCCUUAGUUUAGUAGAGUUUGACGAGUAAUGUAAUAUAUACGAACAACGCAGCAACAACUCAGCUGAGCGCCAGGCCCUUGGGCCUCUUGUUAUUAUUUUGUACAUUGUUGACAGCCUUUUCUGCUUGUUAUGCAUACAUGUUUGUCUGUGUAGACCUCCUGAUCUGAUCUUUAUCAAAACUAGAUAAUUUUUGUCUGUAUAUGUAUAUUUGUAUCCAGACUAUAAAAACAACAAUUCUGAGACAUUUUAAAGAGAAAUGUUUACACGUACACAAACCUCUCCAAAAUACUCGUGGACCACGUCCUCCAUAAGUACAUGUACGACAUAGCCACCUCGAUUGUUAGUUCUCAGGUCAGGGUCCUGAUAUCCUCGGGGCUAUAAUGCUUCUGUGGGGAGCUAAUGGGCUGAGGUUAAGGUCUCUAUGUGGUAUUUGACCAACGCGAGUCCUUUUAUGCUAUACCGUCCUUCCGAAGUGUGUAAUAUAAACAAUAUAAUACCUCCAGUAUUUGAAUCAUGGCAGUUACUGCAUGAUAUGGAAGACAUAAGAAUCAACUCGACACCUUUACAACAGUUAUUGAAAGUCUUAUGCUGCCUUCUGCUAUGAGAAUUUUGCAACUUGUCUUUUGACAUCAGUGAGAGAUCACAGAAGUUGUUCAUUAUGACCAUGUGAAAGCAAAUAUAUUAACAUAUUGUUGCCAUGACAAUCAAAAUGUCGUCAUUUUCUGCUGUUUUGUAUUGAUUUGAAGUCGGUGCUACAAUGAAAAGUGAGGUCAAGUGGAAUCAUUGAAAUGGGAAAAAUCUCCUGUCAUUCAAAGUCAUUGAUGAUAGUAUGGGUAGCCAAGUUGUAAUUUGUAUCAGUUGAGUGGUAGCUAGGCCCUGUAUAGCUACGUUCAUUCUCUGUAGCUGAAAAAUGUUGACAUCAAUCUACCGAGUAGAUGGCUGAAAAGUGUAAAUGGACUUUAUUUGAAUUAAUAUAUUCAAUUGAGAUAUAAGAUAUAUUGGCAGAAGUGUUUUGAAUAAUAUAUUCCUGUAUAAAAAUGGAGGUAAAAGUCUUUGUAGUGUUUUUUUUUUACUUUGCUUUUUAUUUGCCGAGCACUGUGUUCAGUUCACUUGUGAGUAGAUUUUCAAAUACCCGUUUAUACAGUAAAUGGCUAAAUUUUUGCAGGUGUUUUAUUUUCACAGAUUUUGCAAAUAUUGUUCUCUGAUCUGUAGAAAAAAGUCAAUUUUUUGGUGGAAAAAUCUAGGAAACUUCAAAAUCUGUAAACUAAAAUACAGAAAUUUGUGCAAAUUGCGAAAAAAUGAAAUGAUGCAAAAAUGUUGCGGUUUACAGUUGUUGGAGAAAUAUAUGCCAAACAAUUGGCAACAGGUUAUUUAUUUUGAUUUCUAUUGAAGCAUUUUUGUAAAUUGUGCACCAGUUUUGUCGUUUAGAGAAUACAUAUUUAUGUAGACUUUAGUA